AUUGAACGCUGGCGGAAUGCUUUACACAUGCAAGUCGAACGGUAGAGGGGGCAACCCCUCGAGAGUGGCGAACGGGUGAGUAAUAUAUCGGAACGUGCCCAGUCGUGGGGGAUAACGUAGCGAAAGUUACGCUAAUACCGCAUACGAUCUAAGGAUGAAAGCGGGGGAUCGCAAGACCUCGCGCGAUUGGAGCGGCCGAUAUCAGAUUAGGUAGUUGGUGGGGUAAAGGCUCACCAAGCCAACGAUCUGUAGCUGUUCUGAGAGGACGACCAGCCACCGUGGAACUGAGACACGGUCCAGACUCCUAGGGGAGGCAGCAGUGGGGAAUUUUGGACAAUGGACGCAAGUCUGAUCCAGCCAUUCCGCGUGCAGGAUGAAGGCCCUCGGGUUGUAAACUGCUUUUGUACGGAACGAAAAGGUCUCUCUUAAUACGGGGGGCUCAUGACGGUACCGUAAGAAUAAGCACCGGCUAACUACGUGCCAGCCGCCGCGUAA
rnacentral:rRNA from 1 species